GUGCUUCCUUGGAAAGUUUUAAAGGAGACUGCAUUUUUUGUCUCAUCCAGCUUUUGGUGUCUGCCAGCAUUCCUUGGCUCGUGACUACAUCACUCCAAUCUGCCUCCUUGGCCUUCUCCUCUUUUGCAGUCAAAUGUCCCCCUUUCUCUGUCUUCUAAGGACACUUGUAAUUGCAUUUAGAGCCCUCUUGGACAAUCCAGGAUAAUCUUUCCAUCUCAAGAUUCUUAAUUAUAUCUGCAAACUCAUUUAUGCCAUAUAAGGUAACACUCACAGAUUCUGGGGAUUAGGAAAUGUAUAACUUUUAGGAGCCAUUAUUUAACCUACCACAGCAUCUAACAAGGAAUCAAGAAUACUGAUGAAAUGGAAAAAUGAAGACAUUCAUUAUCUCUUGAAAAAUGUCCUUCACAAUCUGUAUUUUUAAAAAUCUUAUCUUUUGCCAUUUGAAAUAUUAAUAUUUGCAUAUCAAAUAUUCAUAUAAAUUAAUUCAGACUGAUAUCCUUUAUAGAAGAUUCCAAAAAUGAAUUCUAAGGAAAAAGUCCAAUUUAUCACAUAUAUCAAUCCUUUUCACACAUAGCCUCAUGAAUAACCACUUGACACUGAAACAUGAAUUCAGAAACUAUUAUUAUUUUGGCACAGGAACAAACUUCAGAAUCACAGCAUGCAGAUAUCUAUUAACUUUUAUUCAAGUAAAAGUUUUAAACACCUGAAUAACUUAUGGAUACAAACGGACAUCGGUUUCAUAUUGCUUCCAUAUGUAGGAACUAGUCAUUUCAGCAAAUUACAAAUAGAUCAGGAUUUAAUAAACUGAAUCUGCAGUCAAGAAGAACCUAUGAUUUAGACUGCAUAAAUGAACUAAAAUGACAUUUGCAAUAUUGUUCAGCAUUAAUUUGGGUUGAUAUGGAAUUGUCAAUUAUUUUCCAGUUACAAAUAACUGUACAUUCUUAUAGAAGAUUAUUUACAACUGACUUACUCUAUUAGAGCUCUGUUAACUGAGAGACUAGUCUCUAGUUAGAGACUAGUUUAGGACAUUCUAGUCCUAAACUGUAGACAUCCUCAAUAUUCCUCAAUAUAGAUUAUUCCACCAUUACUUGACACCACCAGACAGGAAGAUGAGGAUACAUAGAUAUAGAGCUGUUUUGUUUUUAACAAUAACAUGAUACAUGCUUUUAUUGUAUGCCAAAUAGGUGCCUGCUAAGGCUUUGUCUAUAUGUUGUUAAUGAAUUACUUUUCAAUAUUUCUCACUUUGAUAAUUGGUUUCUAUAUAAGCCAUGUAACUAAUAACUGUUAAAUGUUAAUGCCACUAUAUCACCCACUUCACCAUCCAGUAUUUUCAUUAUAAACUCCAUACAUCUUUUUUAUUAUAAAUUUCACAUACAUACCAUUGAUUAUUUGUUGCAGUCAUCAAAGAUUGCUAUCCUAUAGUAAAUACAUUUCUUUAAAUCAUUGCAAUUGGAAUGCAAAUGAAGGAUAAAUAUGAUUGUACUUGAGAAUAGUAAAAUUCAUAGAGACAGAAUAGUGGUUUUCAGGGGUAGGAGGGAGGAGGGAAUGGGGAGUUACUGUUUCAUGGGUACAGAGUUUCAGUUUGCGAAGAUGAAAAUGUUCUGGAGAUGGAUGGUACAAUGGUUGCACAACAAUGUGAAUGUACUUAGUGCCACUGAAUGUACACUUAAAAAUCAUUAAAAUGGUAAAUUUCAUUACGUAUGUCUUGCCACAAUGAAAACAAAAUGCUUUUGUUUGUUCACUGCUGUUAUGAUAAAGAUCUCAACACCUGACAUCCCCUACAAGGCCCAAUAUGAUCAGACCUACCAUUCCACCCCGAGGUUUUUAUACUCCAGUUACACUAACUGUCUUUUUUCAAGUUAUUGAUGACACUAGAUUCCUUCUUACUUUAAACUUCCCUUAACGUUCUUUCUGGAAUGAAAUGCUCCUCCUCUCUUUUCACCUGGCCAGGUACUAUUACUCAUUGUUUUAUCCCUCAGCUUACAUAGCACUUUCUCCAGGAUAUUGUCCAUGACUCUCUCCAAUGAUAGAUCCUUCUAUUUACAAUCUAACAGCACCUAUACUUCUUUGUUGCACUUAUCACAAUUAUGAUUUAUUAUUCAGUAUCUGUCUCCUGCAACAUAUUGCAAGAUCUGUGAGACCAGAGACUAUUUUGCUUUUUUUUUUUUUUUGAGACGGAGUCUCGCUCUGUUGCCCAGGCUGGAGUGCAGUGGUGCGAUCCUGGCUCACUGCAAGAUCCGCCUCCCGGGUUCACGCCAUCCUCCUGCCUCAGCCUCCUGAGUAGCUGGGACUACAGGCACCUGCCACGACACCUGGCUAAUUUUUUGUAUUUUUAGUAGAGAUGGGUUUUUACCCUGUUAGCCAGGAUGAUCUCGAUCUCCUGACCUCAUGAUCCGCCCACCUUGGCCUCCCAAAGUGCUAGGAUUAUAGGCGUGAGCCACCGCGCCCGGCCGAGACUAUUUUGUCUUAUUCAUCAAACACCUUUCAAAGAGCUGUCAUUUAGUACAAGUUCAAAACAUAUUUAUAGAGUUAAUGAAUCAAUACACGAACGAAUACAUCUAAAUGGUAAAGAAUAAUUCAUUAAUGAAAUAAUGAGGGCCGGGUGUGGCGGCUCAUGUCUGUAAUUGCAGCACUUUGGGAGGCCGAGGAAGGCAGAUCACUUGAGGUCAGGAGUUCCAGACCAGCAUGGCCAACAUGGCGAAACGCCAUCUCUACUAAAAAUACAAAAAUUAGCUGGGCAUAGUGGCAUGUGCCUGUAAUUCCAACUACUUGGGAGGCUGAGACACGAGCAUUGCUUGAACCCCAGAGGUGGAGGUGGAAGUGAGCCAAGAUCGUGCCACUGCACUCCAGCCUGGGUGAUGGAGUGAGACUGUCUCCAAAAAAAAAAAAAAAAAAAAAAAAGUAAGGAUUACCACUUAAAAGGUAUUUCAAAGAAAAGGAAAAUACAUAAUAUGUACUUAUCAUUUUAAAAAUAAUACAAAUUCCCUAUAGAAAACCUGGAAAAUCCAGAUAAAAUAUAAAGAAAAUAAACAUUGCCCUAUCUUGCAACUCAGUGGUAAUCAUUGUUGCAUAUCUUGGUAUAUUUCCAAUGGCUUCUUUCCCGAUUUCAGUGCUACCCACAGGGGAAUAAGACUCCUUCUCUUGCUUUUCAUAAAUACUACAACUUGGAAAUCUCUGCAAGUCAAUUUUUGAACGUGGGUAGAACCUGUGAAUACGAUGAUACAUUACUCCUAUGAACACGUUACAAAGGGAGAUUAUCCAGGUAGGUCUAAUCUAAGAAAUGGGGACCUCAAUCCUACAACUGCAAGGAAAUAGAUCCUGCCAGCAAUCUGAAUGCGCUGUGUUAAAAUCAGAUCAAACUUUAAAAAUUUUUAAAAGUUUAGCAUGCAUACAAAGAACAGUUUACAAACUGGAAGACAUCUAACCAAAAGUGGCAAGAAGCCCAGCUCACAGCAGUUACAGUACAGCUUAUAAACAUUGAGGAAGAAGUAUUUUGACCUUCGUUACAUUCUUUUUAAGGCGAGUAGAGCUGUUAAGCUGAUUUGUCUAUAGCUGAUUGGUUUAAUUUCAUUGACUCACACUGUCAAGGACAUUUUGUGUUUUGUUUAUGUCUAGAGCAAGUGUUUCAGGGAAAUAAGGAUGACUUAAGUUUUGGCUACCUGGCUAUGGGUGGUUGGACUUAAAAUAUCUAAACUGGAGCCUCUAUUUUUAUUUAUCUUUAACACUUGAAAGAAAUUCUUCCCAGAGCCUCCAGAUAAGAAGCCAGCUUGGCUCUUGACUUCAAAUCAAGGUGUUCUUCCCAGAGGCUCCAGAUAAGAACGCACCAAGCUUGGGUGGGUUCUUAUCUUGAGGCUCUGGGAAGAAUUCAAUGAAAUUAAACCAACUGGCUAUAGACAAAUCAGUUUAAACAGGUAUGCUUGCCUUAAAAAGAAUUUAAUGAAGGUCAAAAUACUUUCUCCUUGAUGUUUAUAAGCUGUUAUAUAUCCGUGAUUACCAGGAUUGAACCUGGCCAAACCUUUUGAUCUAUAGAAUUGGGACUUCUUAUCUAUAGAAUUGUGACAUCAUAAAUGGGUGUUGUUUUCAGCUGUUGAGUUUGUGGUAAUUUGUCAUACAGCAGUAGAAAAGUACGGGUUGAGUAUCCCAAAUCCAAAAAUCCCAAACCCAAAAUGCUCCAAAAUCCAAAACUUUUUGAGUGCCAACAUGACACUCAAAGGAAGUGCUCAUUGGAACAUUCUGAAUUUGGGAUUUUUGGAUUUGGGAUGCACAACCAUUGUAAUGCAAACAUUCCAAAAUCCGGAACAAUCUAAAAUCUGAAACAUUUCUGGUACCAAACAUUUCGGAUAAGGGAUACUCAAUCUGUAAUACAAGGGGAUUGCAUAAAGGCAUGAUUAUCAGGAGGCAAGGAACAUGGGGAUCAUGUUAGGUCUGUAUAAGGGGCCACAGUAACCCUGUCCAGAACAGCAGAACUGCCAGUUAACUCAUAGAAUCAUGAACUAUAAUCAUGAAUGGGGGUUGUCUUAAGCCACUCAGAUUUAGACUGGUGUGUUAUGCAGUUAAAGCUAAUUGUUACAACUUCUGGGGUGAGAGAAGUAUAGAUCAAUUCCUCUUAAAUGAAAAGCUCCAUCAUAUUUCCAAAGAUACUGAAGAAUAUAGAAAGGGCAUGAGAUCUGAAUUUGGGCCCGUGACUUUACAAGUUAUCAUUUAUUGAUGACUUACUUAUUAGCACUGUGGUAGGAGCUGUAUAUUCUCUAUCUAAACCAUACAACUCUAAGGUAGGUAUUUUGAAGGCUCAGUGAAUCUAUGCUAUAUUUUCAUUUUGUGGAGUUAGAUAACCUUGAUUACAUUCACCAUCCAAUCCUCAAUUCUCUCGUCUAUAAAAUGGGCUUGAUUAUAUUAUUUAAUUCACAAGAUUACACUGCUCUGUAAACUCCUGUGCAAAUAUUAGAACUCAUUACUAGCAGUCCAGGGUUCCGUUUUCACAUAAUAUUUGCCACCGAAACUCAUCUAUAGUGACUACAUCAACACACUGUAUCUACAUAGCAUGUACUAUAUGAGCAUGUAUAUCAACACUUGGUUUGUGAGAGUCUGCACUCUUAUGGGUCUGUUCGCCUCCCUGCUUGAUCAAGACAUACCAAUUAACUACCAAAAGAAUAUAAUUCACAGGUGAAUGAUAUGCUCUGGUUUUGGAAUUGGGGAAGGGGAGCUAAUAUUUUUGAAGGCCUCUAUGUUUCAGGCACCAGGCUAGAUGAUUUACUUCUAACAGCUGAUUAUGAUUGAAUUUGUUUGGACUGGGUCAUUUAGAAACCACCUCAAGUAAUUCUACUGUGAGCAUGGGUCACAGUAGGAUUCUACUGUGUAUCCAUGACUGAGAAUUUCUGACAUACAAAACCCCAUUAAAUCUUGCAAAAAUAUUCCAAAGUAGGUGAUAUGUUUAUUUUACAGUAAGGAAAUUGAUGCCCACGGACAUUAACUAACUUUCCCAAGAGCACACACCUUGUAAAGCCAAGUUUUUUGCCACUUUACCAAAAUGACAGGUUUCUUGAACAGAGGAGACAAUCACUCUCAUCAAAUUAAGGGAGAUACUAAACCGAAAAGCAAGAAAGACUGAAGAUUCCUACUUAAUAAUCAAAUCCCCUUGGUUGACCUUGCUAUCCCCCGUGAAACUUUUCCAGCCAUGUCAGUCCUUGUUUGUUGAUCUCCUCACUUUAUUUCUAUUACAUGAGUAACUGGCUAAUUUUGAUGGUGUUCAUACUUAUCCUUACCAUAUAUUUGCUCCUACAUUUGUCAAGUCCUGCUUGUACAUUUCCUAGUUGCCAACCUGGUGUCACAGCGGGCAAAUCAUGGGAAGAGCCCUGGUUUUGGAGCCAGACCACCUGAAUUGGCCUCCCGCAUGGACUUAGCUGUGUGGCAAUGAGACAAGGCAUUUUAUUCUUUGAAUUUCAGUUUUGUAAGCAUAAAAAGGGGAAAAAUAAAACCCAGAGUUUAGUAAGGUUUAGAAACGCUACACUCAGCAAGUCAUAGCUAAGUCACCGUCACCAAUGGUAGUCAAGUGUGUGGUGCAGCAGGAAACAUUUGGAGUCGACUCCUUUACGGAACUCAAAUGCCCUCACAUUUAGGGAGAAAUAGAAAGAAUUACGACUCAUGAAAUCGAGCUGGGGCUGGCACUUCUGACCCUCCCAACAGGUUUCCAGAAAGCUAUUUACACACGAUGCAUUCGCCAAACCACUGGAAAUCAUUCUACCCUGUACUUUUUUCCACCCUGCCUCACGUCCUUGCCCUAUGACCGGGUUCCUACCCCAACCUCUGCCCCAACACUUAGAGGAGGAGUUGCGGGCCUCUUUUUACAGUGGAUAGGAUUCCGAAGGGGAGAGUAAAUCAGU
rnacentral:lncRNA from 10 species